AUGGGGGGGUCGGACUAGCCAUGCGAGUUGAUGUCCGAAAGGGCAUAGCGCACUGCGUCAGUAACACGUGGACAACCUGCCCUGAGGACUGGAAUAAUCCCGGGAAACUGGGGGUAAUUCCAGAUAUGUCAGAACUCCUGGAAUGGGUCCUGGCAGAAAGGCUCCGGCGCCUCAGGGUGGGUCUGCGGCCUAUCAGGGUAGUAGUGGGUGUAACGUACCUACUAGCCUACGACGGGUACGGGUUGUGAGAGCAAGAGCCCGGAGAUGGAUUCUGAGACAUGAAUCCAGGCCCUACGGGGUGCAGCAGGCGCGAAAACUUUACAAUGCGGGCAACCGCGAUAAGGGGACCUCGAGUGCUGGGUUACAAACCUGGCUGUUGGGCUGCCUAAAAAGCAGUCUAUAGCAAGGGCCGGGCAAGACCGGUGCCAGCCGCCGCGGUAACACCGGCGGCUCGAGUGGUAACCGCUAUUAUUGGGUCUAAAGGGUCUGUAGCCGGCCGACUAAGUCUCUUGGGAAAUCUGGCAUCUCAAGUGUCAGGCUGCCAGGGGAUACUGGUCGGCUUGGGACCGGGAGAGGUGAGAGGUACCUCGGGGGUAGGGGUGAAAUCUUGUAAUCCUCGAGGGACCACCAGUGGCGAAGGCGUCUCACCAGAACGGAUCCGACGGCAAGGGACGAAAGCUAGGGGCACGAACCGGAUUAGAUACCCGGGUAGUCCUAGCCGUAAACGAUACUCGCUAGGUGUCGGCCACGGUGCGACCGUGGUCGGUGCCGUAGGGAAGCCGUGAAGCGAGCCACCUGGG
rnacentral:rRNA from 1 species